GAUGAACGCUGGCGGCGUGCCUAAUACAUGCAAGUCGAGCGAACAGACGAGGAGCUUGCUCCUCUGACGUUAGCGGUGGACGGGUGAGUAACACGCGGAUAACCUACCUAUAAGACUGGGUUAACUUCGGGAAACCGGAGCUAAUACCGGAUAAUAUAUUGAACCGCAUGGUUCAAUAGUGAAAGACGGUUUUGCUGUCACUUAUAGAUGGAUCCGCGCCGCAUUAGCUAGUUGGUAAGGUAACGGCUUACCAAGGCAACGAUGCGUAACCGACCUGAGAGGGUGAUCGGCCACACUGGAACUGAGACACGGUCCAGACUCCUACGGGAGGCAGCAGUAGGGAAUCUUCCGCAAUGGGCGAAAGCCUGACGGAGCAACGCCGCGUGAGUGAUGAAGGUCUUCGGAUCGUAAAACUCUGUUAUUAGGGAAGAACAAAUGUGUAAGUAACUAUGCACGUCUUGACGGUACCUAAUCAGAAAGCCACGGCUAACUACGUG
rnacentral:rRNA from 1 species